UACGGAGGGUGCAAGCGUUAUCCGGAAUCACUGGGUUUAAAGGGUGCGUAGGCGGUUUGAUAAGUCAGUUGUGAAAUUCCCCGGCUUAACCGGGUGGACUGCGAUUGAUACUGUUGAACUUGAAUCAGGUUGAGGUCGGCGGAAUGUGACAUGUAGCGGUGAAAUGCUUAGAUAUGUCAUAGAACACCGAUUGCGAAGGCGGCUGGCUAGACCUGGAUUGACGCUGAGGCACGAAAGCGUGGGGAGCAAACAGG
rnacentral:rRNA from 1 species